rnacentral:tRNA from 2 species
GCUGGUGUAGCUCAGUUGGUAGAGCAACUGAUUCGUAAUCAGUAGGUCGCCCGUUCGAGUCGGGCCACCAGCACCA